UUAAGUUAGAAAGGGCGCACGGUGAAUGCCUUGGCACUAGGAGCCGAUGAAGGACGGGACUAACACCGAUAUGCUUCGGGGAGCUGUAAGUGAGCUUUGAUCCGGAGAUUUCCGAAUGGGGAAACCCACUGUUCGUAAUGGAACAGUAUCUUUAUCUGAAUACAUAGGAUAUUGAAGGCAGACCCGGGGAACUGAAACAUCUAAGUACCCGGAGGAAGAGAAAGCAAAUGCGAUUUCCUGAGUAGCGGCGAGCGAAACGGAAUUAGCCCAAACCAAGAGGCUUGCCUCUUGGGGUUGUAGGACACUCUAUACGGAGUUACAAAGGAACGAAGUAAAUGAAGCGACCUGGAAAGGUCCGUCGAAGAAGGUAACAACCCUGUAGUUGAAACUUCGUUCCCUCUUGAGUGGAUCCUGAGUACGGCGGAACACGUGAAAUUCCGUCGGAAGCUGGGAGGACCAUCUCCCAAGGCUAAAUACUACCUAGUGACCGAUAGUGAACCAGUACCGUGAGGGAAAGGUGAAAAGCACCCCGGAAGGGGAGUGAAAGAGAUCCUGAAACCGUGUGCCUACAAGUAGUCAGAGCCCGUUAACGGGUGAUGGCGUGCCUUUUGUAGAAUGAACCGGCGAGUUACGAUCCCAUGCAAGGUUAAGCUGAUAAGGCGGAGCCGUAGCGAAAGCGAGUCUGAAUAGGGCGUUUAGUAUGUGGUUGUAGACCCGAAACCAGGUGAUCUACCCAUGUCCAGGGUGAAGUUCAGGUAACACUGAAUGGAGGCCCGAACCCACGCACGUUGAAAAGUGCGGGGAUGAGGUGUGGGUAGCGGAGAAAUUCCAAUCGAACCUGGAGAUAGCUGGUUCUCUCCGAAAUAGCUUUAGGGCUAGCCUCAUGUUGUGAGAGUCUUGGAGGUAGAGCACUGAUUGGACUAGGGGCCCCCAACGGGUUACCGAAUUCAGUCAAACUCCGAAUGCCAAAGACUUAUCCAUGGGAGUCAGACUGCGAGUGAUAAGAUCCGUAGUCAAAAGGGAAACAGCCCAGACCACCAGCUAAGGUCCCCAAGUAUACGUUAAGUGGAAAAGGAUGUGGAGUUGCUUAGACAACCAGGAUGUUGGCUUAGAAGCAGCCACCAUUUAAAGAGUGCGUAAUAGCUCACUGGUCGAGUGACUCUGCGCCGAAAAUGUACCGGGGCUAAACGUAUCACCGAAGCUGUGGAUUGACAUCUUAGAUGUCAGUGGUAGGAGAGCGUUCUAAGUGCUGUGAAGUCAGACCGUAAGGACUGGUGGAGCGCUUAGAAGUGAGAAUGCCGGUAUGAGUAGCGAAAGACAAGUGAGAAUCUUGUCCACCGAAUGCCUAAGGUUUCCUGAGGAAGGCUCGUCCGCUCAGGGUUAGUCGGGACCUAAGCCGAGGCUGAAAAGCGUAGGCGAUGGCCAACAGGUUGAUAUUCCUGUACCACCUCCCCGCCGUUUGAGUAAUGGGGGGACGCAGUAGGAUAGGGUAAGCGCGCUGCUGGAUAUGCGCGUUCAAGCAGUUAGGCUGAUGAGUAGGCAAAUCCGCUCAUCAUAAAGGCUGAGCUGUGAUGACGAGGGAAUUAUAGUACCGAAGUUCCUGAUUCCACACUGCCAAGAAAAGCCUCUAGCGAGGCGGGAGGUGCCCGUACCGCAAACCGACACAGGUAGGCGAGGAGAGAAUCCUAAGGUGAUCGAGAGAACUCUCGUUAAGGAACUCGGCAAAAUGACCCCGUAACUUCGGGAGAAGGGGUGCUCUGGUAGGGUGUAUAGCCCGAGAGAGCCGCAGUGAAUAGGCCCAGGCGACUGUUUAGCAAAAACACAGGUCUCUGCGAAGCCGCAAGGCGAAGUAUAGGGGCUGACGCCUGCCCGGUGCUGGAAGGUUAAGAGGAGGGGUUAUCCUUUGGGAGAAGCUCUGAAUCGAAGCCCCAGUAAACGGCGGCCGUAACUAUAACGGUCCUAAGGUAGCGAAAUUCCUUGUCGGGUAAGUUCCGACCCGCACGAAAGGCGUAACGAUCUGGGCACUGUCUCAACGAGAGACUCGGUGAAAUUAUAGUACCUGUGAAGAUGCAGGUUACCCGCGACAGGACGGAAAGACCCCGUGGAGCUUUACUGUAGCCUGAUAUUGAAUUUUGGUACAGCUUGUACAGGAUAGGUAGGAGCCUGAGAAGCCGGAGCGCUAGCUUCGGUGGAGGCGUCGGUGGGAUACUACCCUGGCUGUAUUGAAAUUCUAACCCGCGGCCCUGAUCGGGCCGGGAGACAGUGUCAGGUGGGCAGUUUGACUGGGGCGGUCGCCUCCUAAAAUGUAACGGAGGCGCCCAAAGGUUCCCUCAGAAUGGUUGGAAAUCAUUCGUAGAGUGUAAAGGCACAAGGGAGCUUGACUGCGAGACCUACAAGUCGAGCAGGGACGAAAGUCGGGCUUAGUGAUCCGGUGGUUCCGCAUGGAAGGGCCAUCGCUCAACGGAUAAAAGCUACCCCGGGGAUAACAGGCUUAUCUCCCCCAAGAGUCCACAUCGACGGGGAGGUUUGGCACCUCGAUGUCGGCUCAUCGCAUCCUGGGGCUGUAGUCGGUCCCAAGGGUUGGGCUGUUCGCCCAUUAAAGCGGUACGCGAGCUGGGUUCAGAACGUCGUGAGACAGUUCGGUCCCUAUCCGUCGUGGGCGUAGGAAAUUUGAGAGGAGCUGUCCUUAGUACGAGAGGACCGGGAUGGACACACCGCUGGUGUACCAGUUGUCUUGCCAAAGGCAUCGCUGGGUAGCUAUGUGUGGACGGGAUAAGUGCUGAAAGCAUCUAAGCAUGAAGCCCCCCUCAAGAUGAGAUUUCCCAUAGCGCAAGCUAGUAAGAUCCCUGAAAGAUGAUCAGGUUGAUAGGUCAGAGGUGGAAGCGUGGCGACAUGUGUAGCUGACUGAUACUAAUCGAUCGAGGACUUAACCAA
rnacentral:rRNA from 2 species